CUUUUACAAGUUGUUUUUUAGUUCUUUUUCGACCCAGCCUGGCAUUCAAUUGAACCGAAACGUGUAUGGUCACUGGGUUGCGAACUUUUGUGGUUUGGUUAUAUGUAUGCAGACGAAAAAAUAUAAUCAAAACAAUGAUAAGGAAAGGAAAAACCAAAAUAUACAGUAUAUAACAGUUACCAAAAAACAGUUAUCAAAUAUGUAUGUAUUAGUUUAUAGAUUAAUGCAAUUUCAUUUCCGUCGGGACCUACCACAAAACAAAACGAGACCAAAAACAAAACGAAAGCGAAUGUACAUAUGUCUCUAUAGAAAAAUGUAACAGAAAUAUAGUAAUGCUGCGCUCCCGGCUCAAUGAACAUAAAUCAGACUCAUGUAUGUAUGCAAAACGAAUGUCUUUGAACCUCGAUCCUCCUACCGACCGUAUUAUGAGUAUUAUUAUAAUCAUUAUUUUUUGUCCUGCCCUAACCAUCCAUUCCGUUUUUGGGCUUACAAGCUAGAAAAUGUCUCGGUAAAUCUCUUAAAUAUAUGUAUAUGUAUAUAUUUAUAUUUUAGGGUAGAAACAAAAACUUGAUAAA